GAGUUUGAUCCUGGCUCAGAACGAACGCUGGCGGCGUGCUUAACACAUGCAAGUCGAACGUGAUCCGGAGCUUGCUCCGGUGAAAGUGGCGCACGGGUGAGUAACGCGUGGAUAAUCUGCCCUGGUAUCUGGGAUAACAUCUCGAAAGGGGUGCUAAUACCGGAUAAGCCUACGGGAUCCUCGGAUUCUGCAGGAAAAGGUGGCCUCUAUUUAUAAGCUACCGUAUCAGGAUGAGUCCGCGUACCAUUAGCUAGUUGGUGGGGUAAUGGCCUACCAAGGCGACGAUGGUUAGCUGGUCUGAGAGGAUGAUCAGCCACACUGGAACUGAGACACGGUCCAGACUCCUACGGGAGGCAGCAGUGGGGAAUUUUGCGCAAUGGGGGAAACCCUGACGCAGCAACGCCGCGUGAGUGAUGAAGGCUUUCGGGUCGUAAAGCUCUGUCAGAGGGGAAGAAAUGAAACGUGCUAAUAUCACGUUUUCUUGACGGUACCCUCAAAGGAAGCACCGGCUAACUCCGUGCCAGCAGCCGCGGUAAUACAAGGGCRARWUCK
rnacentral:rRNA from 1 species